rnacentral:lncRNA from 1 species
GGGAUUAAUAUAGUAUUGUGCCUUCUCUCAUUUCCUUUUUCCUGAGAAGGCGUGGAUGCUCUUUUCCUGAGUCUUCGAAGCACUCCAGCCAUCCCCUUGGAGAAUCGGAGGCUGUCUGUGACCGUCUGAAGAAGAAGUUGACUAUUUCUGAAUGUCCAUGGAUAUUGGAAGUUAGCUAGGGCCCUCCUGAGGAAAGUUUCAGAUCAAUUAGAAUCUAGAAGUGAGUGAGAACAUCAGAGAUAAAAUUUAACCUUCCCUGGGCUGUCCAGAGUGGAAAUUCUGAAGAGGAGACAGACCAUCACGAUCUGGCUGUGAAGUAAAGAGGAAUUUCAAGAGGCUCUCUGUCUUCACUAUACCUGUGCCAUUGAAGUCCUGCAGUAACUCACAAGGAAGCCUGGAGCAGCUAGACAGCAGAGCAUCUGGAACCCAGUGGGAAUCACACAGGAGGAAGCUUAGGCGGGGAAAUCAGAAUAAACCAAACCAUAUGGAAGUGGGGGCUGGCUGUGGGAGUUGGUGACUUGCCUCCUCCACGGAUCAAGUGAGUGUCUUCAUCUCUUUCCCACCGUAGGCUCUAUCCUGUUUAAUGUGGCAGUGUCUGGGGGCAAAGGUAGCAUAUACCAUAUGUCUCUAAGUAAUUAAAUGUUCUAAGUAACUAAUAAACUUAUAAAAUAUGCUGUCA